CGUUCCAUGCACCUCCCUUCGGGGGGAGGCCCCGGGGAAGACCUAGGAUGUGCUGGAGAGACUACGUCUCUCGGCUGGCCUGGGAAUGCCUUGGUGUUCCCCCGGAAGGGCUGGAGGAAGUGUUUGCGGAUCGGGAAGUCUGGGCUACUCUGCUCAGACUGCUGUCCUCAUGACCUGGCCCCGGAUAAGCGGAAGAAAAUGGAUGGAUGGAUCAUAAAUUAAUACAUAAUAAAAGUUAUGGACCAAAUACACAGGUUUUCACUCAAAAUUUCACGAUAUAUGGCCCCAUUCAUUCUUUCCUUUACACGGAUCACUUGGGGACACCAAGUGAAUGACGCAGCAGAGAGCGGGAGAGGAAGAACGGUGCCCGCUGU